rnacentral:rRNA from 1 species
UACGUAGGGUGCAAGCGUUAAUCGGAAUUACUGGGCGUAAAGCGUGCGCAGGCGGUUUUGUAAGUCAGAUGUGAAAUCCCCGGGCUUAACCUGGGAAUGGCGCUUGAAACUACAGGACUGGAGUAUGGCAGAGGGAGGUGGAAUUCCACGUGUAGCGGUGAAAUGCGUAGAGAUGUGGAGGAACACCGAUGGCGAAGGCAGCCUCCUGGGCCAAUACUGACGCUCAUGCACGAAAGCGUGGGGAGCAAACAGG